rnacentral:tRNA from 1 species
UUAUGGGGUGAGCUCCCCUCUUUACA